CCUACGGGAGGCAGCAGUGGGGAAUAUUGCACAAUGGGGGAAACCCUGAUGCAGCGACGCCGCGUGAGUGAAGAAGUAUUUCGGUAUGUAAAGCUCUAUCAGCAGGGAAGAAAAUGACGGUACCUGACUAAGAAGCCCCGGCUAACUACGUGCCAGCAGCCGCGGUAAUACGUAGGGGGCAAGCGUUAUCCGGAUUUACUGGGUGUAAAGGGAGCGUAGACGGCAGAGCAAGUCUGAAGUGAAAGCCCGCGGCCCAACUGCGGGACUGCUUUGGAAACUGCCCGGCUUGAGGACUGGAGAGGCAGACGGAAUUCCUAGUGUAGCGGUGAAAUGCGUAGAUAUUAGGAGGAACACCAGUGGCGAAGGCGGUCUGCUGGACAGCAACUGACGGUGAGGCGCGAAAGCGUGGGGAGCAAACAGGAUUAGAUACCCGAGUAGUC
rnacentral:rRNA from 1 species